UUUUUUUUUUUUUUUUUUUUGUGUUUUUUUUUUUUUUUUUAAUUUCAAAAAAAAGAAGAAGAAGGG
rnacentral:ribozyme from 1 species